rnacentral:lncRNA from 1 species
AUGUGUGGCUCACUUCCUACAGGAAUAUCCCUGACUCAUCUUGCUCCUGUACCUCACCUACCAGCACACAGGAGCCCACCCUUUCUGCUGCUGGUAUCGAGGACAUCCAGGAAUGAAGAAAUCUUGAUGUUGUGCUCUCCUUUUGAUCUCCAAGAUGUGUCCCUUUGUCCCUUUGUCAGCAUGCUGCUUCGUACAACAGCUGCUGUUUUCAGCCAUCCCUACUGAGAGAGAACAACACUGUUUCCUGUUGAUAUAGCUCCUUUGCUCUAAAUCAAAGGUAACAUGUUAAGGCUGUGGAAUCCUUUUUAAUGCCGUCUCUGGGGACUGUUGGGUUUUUUUUGAUCAUACAUAUACUUACUAGGAUUAAAUCCAGCAUGAGUCUUCCGGGUGCAUUCUGGGAGGGGUUACUGGGCACAAAAGGCAGAAAAGAGGAAUAACAUGAUGGACUCUCUUCUGCUUCUGUGAGGAUUCCAAUCACUACUUCCCAGGUCAUCCAACCCAGGGGCCACUAAACAGCCAGCAGCUGAGAAGAAUUAGGUGCCUUUCUUUACAUUGAAAUGACAUGGAAAAUUCCAGAAAGAGUGCCAUCUCCCUUCCUAGCUUUUGCUCUUCUGCUUGAUAAAGUCUCUAUCUCUCUGCACCUGAACACUCAGCUCUGUCCUACGUCCCUCUCUGCAGCUCUGUACCACAUAGACUUCAGAGGGGGUGUGACUAGCACUACCCAUCUGAGCGUCUGGCUGGGGCUCAAGUGACUGACCUGUAAUAACACUCUUCAUAUUCCCACAUGGAAUGCUGAUUUGCGGUUAUAGUACAAAGCUGACAAUUUUCGAGGGCUACAUGCAGCCAUUGUGCUAAGUGCUCUGCCUAUGCCAUCUCAUUCAGUCUCCACACGAACACCCAGGAGUUGGCACUAUGUCCUCCCAUUUUAUAAAUGAGUGAACCGAGACCUGGCCAGAACACCUUGAUCAAGGCCACAAGGCUGGGAAGGGCAGAGUGGGGACAUGAAGCCAGAUCUGUACAACUUCAGAAUCUUUGAUCCCAAAUUCUAUGCUGCUAUCCAACUAGAACAGAUGCAAAGAAUCUAAGAGAAUUUCUAGAAUCUUAACACUCAAGCGUGGCCCACAGACCACGUCUGGGAUCACCUAGGAGCUGAUAUCGGAAAUGCAGAAUCUCAAAAAACGAACUAGGGGUGGUGGAAGGGGAGGAGGGCGGGGGGUGGGGGUGAGUGGGUGACGGGCACUGAGGGGGGCACUUGACGGGAUGAGCACUGGGUGUUAUUCUGUAUGUUGGUAAAUUGAACACCAAUAAAAAAUUAAUUUAUUAAAAAAAAAUCCAAGCAUGCAUUUCAGCAAAAUCAAUGUGAUUCCUAGGCAUAUUAAAGUUUGAGAAUUUGAGAAUUUCUGAUCUAAAAAUGCCUUCUUGGGGUACGUGGCUCAGUCGGUUUAGUGUCUGACAUAGGUUCAGGUCAUGAUUUCAGGGUCCUCAGAUCAAGCCCUAAGUUGGGUUCAGUGGAGAGUCUGCUUGGGAGUCUCUCCCUCUCCCUCUGCCCCUGUGCCCUGCUCAUGCUUGCUCUCUCUCUCUCUCAAAUAAAUAAAUAAACUCUUUAAAAAUUAAAACAAAACACAAAUGAAAAUGUCUCCUCCAUUUUUAAAAAAGAUUUUAUUUAUUUACUUGAGAGAGAGUGAAAUUAAGAGAAAGAUUACAGAGGGAGAGAGAGAAGCAGACUCCCCACUGAGCAGGGAGCCCAGUGUGGAGCUCAAUCUCAGGACCCUGAGAUCAUGACCUGAGCCAAAGGCAGAUGCUUCACCACCUGAGCCAUCCAGGUGCCCCAUGCCUUCUCCUUUUAUGGAAGAAUAAACAUGUCAAAUGAUGAGCCUUGGUUCUGUCAAUUGGUGCAGGUGCAGGACUGAAAUCCUGACUGCCAGAGAUGGGGCAGAGAAUACAUUCCAUGGAGAGAAGUGAGACAAGACAGGUGGUAGUGUCUUAAACUGGGUUUCUGAGAAACAGCCCCUGUUUCUCAAAUUUUAGUACAGGGAGGCUAUUCGGUGUGAACCAAAAAACAGUAUCUCUAAAGGAGGUGGGGUGAAGUGGGAUUGAGCAGAGGGAGAAUUUGAACCUUAGUAGAGUUGCAGCAGAGGACUUGGCGGACAACAUGGAGAGCUGGGAUGGCCCUUCAGUGUUGUCUGAGAUUGAGGCAAGGGGCCAGAUCUUUGUAGGUUCCACCACCGACCAGUUAUCAGGUGAUAACUGCCCCUGGUUGAGGACGACUCCCCAGGAGAGACAGCUGUGAGCCCCCAGCAGCCAACAGGGAGACAAUACCUAGAUCCUGCGGGGAGAGGGUCCAGGCACUGCGCUGCAGUGGAGAAGCUGCAUAAAGGUUUCCAAGCUGUAAGCCAAGAAGGACGGGCAGUCAUUCAGAAUGACAUCACCAGACUUGCAUUUGCUAACAAUGCCUUUGGCUCCUGGGUGGCAAUGGAUCAGAAGGAAUGAGAGUCAAAGGAAGGAAAUCCAUGAGAGAAGAGGGGUUAGCUCAGACAAAAAGGGCAAAGAGUCCAGAGAAGUGAGCAAAUUCCAGACACAAUUUAGGCCUAGAAGGUGCAAGCUGCUGCGAUUAAUUUGCUGUUGAAAUGCAGAGAAGGAAGUGUUCAGAUGGACCAUGACCUUCUGGAAGAGUUAACAGGGAGGAUAAAGGUGGGGAUCUGGAUACGGCAUCCCUGAAGGAGAACAUUUGCAAGAAAAGAUUAAAGUCUUCUUUGACACUUUAAAAGCCCUCAAAUCUGCCACAAGAUUUAAGGUCUUCUUCGAUUUAUCUGUUGUUUAGAAUCAUCGUCUCCAGAAACUGCAGUUGCUCCAAAAUGCACAGCAAAUAUUUCGUGACUGUUCUCCAAACAAGUCUUCAAGAAAAUGUAAACGUUUCUGGAUUUUUUUGUUUUGCCCCUUGUAUUUUUUAAAAAGAUUUCUUUAUUUUAGAGAGCAUGUGCCCGUGCACCUGAGGAGGGCAAGGGGCAGGGGGAGAGGGAGAAAAAUCUUCACACAGACUCCCCACUGAGAGCAGAGCCCAACCCAACAUGGGGCUCAAUCCCGGGACCCUCAGAUCCUGUCCUGAGCUGAAAUCAAGAGUCGGAUGCUCAAUGAACUGAGCCACCCAGGGCCCCCUUGGCCGUUAUAUUUUAUUUAACCAUAGAAUGCAAAAGCUUUUGGUGAACUAGUUCUCAAAUAUCAUUUUGUUGAGCAUAAAAAUCAUUCAAAAGAAUAAUCAUAAGAAAAUCAAUUUGAAAUCAGCAUGUUUCACACUUACAUGAAUAAAGGGCCCUAAGAAAAUAGUGCGUGUGAGUUUGUAUGUCCCCUUCACUACUGCCUCUCCAUUUUUGCAAUUACCCUGGUUGACAGAGCCAGGAACUGUUAUUAAUCAAUCAAUAAAUUGAUGCCAUUAUGCAUCCAGACUGGUGUAUUUCAAAUACAGUUCAGUGCCUGUGUUAUGCGGUGUUGAGGAGACAGAGAUGAGUGGAACCUAGGAGCUCGCAGCAUUGGAGACAAUAAAAGUAAAUAUUUUUCUGUUAUCAAUUACAAUUAAAUUUAAUGAGUACCAAAAUAAAUUAAUUAUCCCUAAUACUAAGUGAACUUUUUUCAGAUUUUAAUAUCUGUGAGAUCAAUAUACAUUUUCAAAAAUAAUGUUAGAGGAGAGGUAAAAUGCUGAGUUGUUAUUGCCUGAAUAUUGGAAUUUGGACAAGUAUUAAAGGACUCUAUUAAUCUAAUUGCCACUUCCAUUGAGAUAUUUGCUUUGAAACUAAUAAAAAAAAGAGAAAGUGCUACACAUAGUUGAAUUUUAACUUUUAUUUAUAUCCUCAAUUGCCUUUUUAAAAAAAAGAUUGUGUUUAUUUAUUUAUAAGAGACACACAGAGAGAGGCAGAGACACAGGCAGAGGGAGAAGCAGGCUCCUUGCAGGGAGCCUGAUGCGGGGACUUGAUCCCAGGCCUCCAGGAUCAUGUCCUGGGCCAAAGGCAGACGCUCAACCGCUGAGCCACCCAGGCAUCCCCUUAAUUGCCUUUUAAAUAAGCUUUUUAUUUUAGAAUAGUUUUACAUUUAAAGAAAAGUUGGAAUAUAAUACAGAGGUCCUAUAUGCCAGUUUCCCCUUUUAUGAGCAUCUUACAUUGGUUUAAUACAUUUGUCACAAUUAAUGAACCAAUAUUGAUAUUUUAUGACUAACUAAAGUCCAUAUCAGGUUUCCAUCAUUUUCCCCUAAUGUCCUUUUUCUUUUCCAGAAACUCAUCCAGGAUACCACAUUAUAUUUAUUUGUUCUGUCUCCUUAGACUCUUCCUGGCUGUGGCAAUUUCUCAGAAUUUUCUUGCUUUUGAUGACCUUUACAAUAUCAAGGAGAAUUUGCCAGCUAUUUUGUAGUGACCCCCUAUUGAAUUUUUUCUGAUGUUUGUCUUAUGAAAAGAUGAGGGUUAUGAGUUUUGAGGCAGAAGACCACAGAGGUAAAGCACCCUUCUAAUCACAUCAUACAUGCUAUUGUCAACCUUAAAAAUAAAACUGCCAGUUAUUUUACCAGCAAAAAUGGGUUUAUUUGGGAAUAGCAGAGAAUUGCAAUCCAGGACAAGCAAGCUACAGUGAAACCAUAAAAAAACUCCUAACAAAAAAAAAAAAAAAAAAAAAAAAAAACCUCCUAACAAACAAAGGGGAAGUUGGGAGGGGCUGUUUUGAACAAAAGUCUAUUGAAGAAAAGCAAGAGUUGAGGGUGAUGACAGUUUUCUCAUUAGCUGAGUUGCAGGAGUAGUCAGUCAGUUUCCUACAGGAGAUGCAGUGUACAUCCUUCCCUGUUGGGCCUAUAAUUUAUGAUUCUUUCCUGUUAAGAUUCUUCUGUUAGGGGUCUGUAAUUGACACUUCUUCCUGUAAUUGACAUUGGGUGGUACAUACCAACCUACCCUUCUAGUAUCCUGAGCCCACCUUAGUGAGGUUUCCCUUUUAUAAUUUUCACACAAUCAAAAUGACUUUCCGUGAUGAGGUUGACCUUGAUCACCUGAUUGAGGUAGUGUUUGUCCGGUGUCUCCACCAUAAAGUUACUCUCUUCUCUCCCUUUUCAUAUUGCACUUUUUGGAAGGAAGUCAC